rnacentral:lncRNA from 10 species
CGAUCACAAGGUGAGGUCCCACAAUAGGUCAUCCGCAAGCUGAGGACCAAGGAAGACAGCCUGAGUCCCAAAACCCCAAAAGUAGGGAAGCUGACAGUGCAGCCUUCAGUCUGUGGUUGAAGGUCCAAGAGUCCCUUGGACCAAGUUGAAGAACUUGGAGUCAAAUGUUCAAGGGCAGGAAGCAUCCAGCACGGGAUAAAAACGGAGGCCGGAAGGCUAAGCCAGUCUAGUCCUUCCACGCUCCUCUGCCUGCUUGUAUCCUCGCAGCACUGGCAGCUGAUUAGAUGGUGCCCACCCUGACUGAUGAGGGUGGGUCUGCGUUUCCCAGUCCGCUGACUCAAAUGUUAAUCUUUUUUGACAACACCCUCACAAACACACCCAGGAACAAUACUUUGCAUCCUUCAGUCCAAUCAAGUUGAUACAAUAUUAACCAUCACAGAUUAAAAGGAAGAAAUUGAAGCCUUUUCAUUCCAAUAAUAGACUUUUGGUGCUAGACUGUGUGAUAAGAAAGCAGAUAACAGAGAUGACAGCUGAGAACAAGUUAAACUCCAAGAGCACCUAAAUGAAUCACAUCUACAGGUCAAGAUAAAGAAACUUUUAGUCCGAGAGGUGAAGGUGAUUCAAGGACAUCUGGGUGAAAGAAAGCUGAGCCAGUUCUUCAUUUGAGCUGCAGUCAAGAGGACAAUCUCUACUGGGUAAAAAUGCUUUAUAAAGAUGAUGUUUCUUGGUUGGUAGAGUAAAAUUUUGCAUUUCAUUUCCAAUAAAUAAUGCUAUUCAUUAGAAACUUUUUCAAAACUCUCAAAGUGCUACUAAGCCUCCAUUAGAGUAUUUUCUCUCUCUCUCUUCCAUCAUUAUCCACAUUCUCACUACCUGUACAAAGUGAUUCAGUGAAAACUGGAUUCAAAAGGAUUAGUCUCUGUAUUUCCAAAAGAGUUUCAGCCCAUCUCUGGAUGAGUUUCUAAUAAAAUUCAGUGAAAUAUAAUUGUAUAUGCUAGAUAGCUUUUGCUUCCCUCCACUCCCAGUAUGCUUUCUCUCUUUGUCCUUGACCCUCUAUUCUGUGCCCAGAAAGGCUGACCUGUAAGGAUUGUAACAGUGGUCCCCUCGACCUCUGGCUUCCAGUGGGUUCAACCAAUGGGAGACCUUGACAAGAGAUUUGAAGGAGGAAAGAAAGUGGGGUUUAAAUAUUUAUCCCACCAGCUCCCUCCUUGCUGGUGACUCAGAUAGCCACUGAUGUUAUCUGAAGAAUCUCUUUAUAAAAUGUCUUUCUCUUGGUUACAGAAAUGACUUCUAACUAUUACAUCAACUAGCUCCAUGGAACUGCAAUUUCUCUUGAUGGUUUCUCCAAACUCUGCCCACAUGUAUAUAGUCAGUUUUACUAUAAAUCAUUUCAGAUAACCCAGAUUGGAUGAGAUUCAUUGAGGGCCCUGGCAUAAAAGGACAGGAACACUCAGACUGGGCUCCCAUCUUUUUGAUAGAUUCCAAAAAUGUGAGCCCAGGACUCUACACACAUCUGCGAUGUUGAAAAGAUCAGUCUGUUGAGAAGGGCUUUAGUAGCUCAAAGUACAACUGCAGUAUUAAUUUUAUUGCCCAAAUGAUAAAAAAGCAAGUAAAUAAAAUGACCCUAUUCAAUAACUUUUUUUUGGCGGGGUUGGGGAUAGUAGGAAGGAAUUGAUUCAGAAUCAGGCAUAAAUUAAAUUUAUAUGAAUGAGAUUUAAAUGAUGAUUUCAACUUAGUAAAAUUUGCUCCAGUGAAUAGGCUACUUCAGAGAGUAACAAGAAAUAAUCAGAAUAAUUAAAGGUCAGCCUGUAGUAAUUGAGUAAAUUUGCCUAUUUUCACUUGGUAUGAUAUUAAUUUGAACUGAUUAUCAUGCCAGGACUUUAAUAUUUUUAUUGAAAGGUCAUUUUGGACAAAACAAGCUACAGGAUUUUAUAUAUAUACAUAUAUGCAUAUAAAUAUGUAUAUGGAUAUAUACAUACAUGUGUAUAUUAUAUGUGCACAUAAAUAUAUAUGACAUAGGAAUUCCACUGUUAACUUACUCAAUGGUUUCUACUGUACAACUCACAAAUGCAAAGUAUAUCAUUCAAAUUCUGAUUUUAUGCUUCUAGCAAACAAAUAAGUAAACAAAUGAAUUAUUUUUUAAAAAUAGUCCAAUGUUAAAUAAUAUAUAUUUCAUGUAGAUUUUCCAAUUUAUAAAUAAAAUUUAUUUCCAGCUAAAUGUAGGACUUAUGUUGCUCAUUGAGUUCUAAUUAUUAUUUUCUCUUGCAACACGCUGUGGCAUUUUGGUGAACUAUUUUGGCAUCAGUAAAUUCCUAAGUAUAGUCAAUAGACUCCUAUUAAUAUAGUAGGGUAUUUUUAGCUCAGGCUUUAGCUUUUUAAAACCACAGUGCUUAAAGUGUCCCCUUACAGAAAAAAAAAAUUACUAUGUUCAAGUAUAACCCCAUUCAUAUAUAUCUACCCAAGUGCUUUCGUCUAUGAAAUGAGUAUUUGACUGAUAAAUACAUACAUAUUUAAUUUUGUAACUUUCCCCACAAUAAAUUAUUUGUAUAAAAC